GUCUACGGCCAUACCACCCUGAACGCGCCCUAUCUCAUCUGAUCUCGGAAGCUAAGCAGGGUCGGGCUUGGUUAGUAUUUGGAUGGGAGACUGCCUGGGAAUACCGGGUGCUGUAGGCU
ensembl:rRNA LOC120094951 5S ribosomal RNA